ACGAGAACCUGGGUCGAUCGGUGCGAACAAAAGCGGAGUGGCAUCUCCAUACAGGGGAGGAGGGGAGAGAGAGAGAGAGAGAGAGAGAGAGAGAGAGAGCCCUCCCAAACCCCCUUCGCCUCUUCUCUCUCUCCACCCUCAAUCAACAGCUAGGGUUAGGGUUUCUCUCGCCCCUCGCUUCCCGCCCACCCCACGCCAUGGAGAAGUGGAAUUGGAACUUCCCCGAUGGCAACGUCGCCGAUCUCGUGGAGAGUCGCCGCAUCGAUUUCUCUUGGGAUGUGGAUCGCAGCUUGCAAUCGCACUCCUCGUUGAUGAAGAGGCUUGCUUUGGAGAAGGAGAUGGAGGGGCAUCUGGGUUGUGUUAACGCUAUCGCGUGGAACUCAAAAGGCUCCCUACUUAUAUCAGGAUCUGAUGAUACAAGAAUCAAUAUAUGGAGUUACUCCAAUCCAGGGCUUUUGCAUAGUAUUGAGACUGGGCACUCUACCAACAUAUUCUGCACAAAAUUUGUUCCAGAGACAAAUGAUGAACUUGUUGUGUCAGGAGCAGGAGAUACAGAGGUUCGUGUGUUCAAUUUGUCUCGCUUAGGUAUGAGAAGAUCCCGAGAUAUUACUCCAGAACCAGCAGCUGUAUACCGGUGCCACAGAAGAAGGGUCAAAAAGCUAGCUGUUGAAACCGGAAACCCUAAUGUAGUUUGGAGUGCAAGUGAGGAUGGAACUUUGAGACAACAUGAUUUCCGUGAAAGUUCUUCCUGUCCUCCAGCUGGAUCCUCUAAUCAAGAAUGUCGUAAUGUUCUUCUCGAUCUUCGUAGUGGUGCGAAGAAGUCUUUAGCUGAUCCUCCGAAGCAGUGCUUGUUACUGAAGUCUUGUGACAUCAGUUCUACUCGUCCACAUCAACUUCUUGUUGGAGGAAGUGAUGCAUUUGCUCGGCUGUAUGAUCGAAGAAUGCUUCCGCCAUUGAGCUCUUCUGAGCUGAAACUGAAGGCCCCUCCUUGUGUUAAUUAUUUUUGUCCAACACAUCUUUCUGAGCGGAGAAAAUCAAACUUGCACCUAACACAUGUUACCUUCAGCCCGAAUGGAGAAGAGGUUCUCUUGAGCUAUAGUGGUGAACACGUAUAUCUCAUGGAUGUUAUCAAUGAUGAUCAGAGCAGUUUGAGAUACACGGCUGACGAUAUUUCCAAGCAGUUAUAUUUAGCACCUUUGCCUCAGGAACCAGAAAUCCAUUCCCAAUUAUCAACAGCAUCCUCAGUGAAGAUACCUCCUGGAAGAUGUAAUUCGCACAGGUUUGAAAUGUGCAAGAAAUUGGUCCAAAUUGCAGCGAGGACUUUGGAGGUGGGUUCGGAUUUAUUAUAUGGCAUUGAAGCAUGCAAUGAAGUACUGGAUGGAAGGGGUUCUUACAUCAGCGAUGCUCUAAGGCAUGAGUGUUUGUGUAUUCGAGCAGCACUGUUUCUCAAGAGGAAAUGGAAAAAUGAUGCUCACAUGGCUGUCCGGGAUUGCCUCAGAGCUCGGAGUAUUGAUACUUCAUCAUUCAGGGCACACUUGUACAUGGCUGAAGCACUCUUGCAGCUGGGAAGACACAAAGAAGCGUCUGAUUUUGCAGAGGCAGCACAUAAUUUAACUCCCAACUAUAAGGCUGCGGAAGAAGUGGAGAGUUUAAAAGAGCGUCUUGCUGCAGCGGAAGCUGAGAGAAACAGAAAGGAUAAUGAAGGGUCUACCAGAAGUGAAUUACAUCAUGGGAGGUUAAGAUCCUUGAGCGAUAUACUCUUUAGGCCAGAUGUUGGUGGCCCCCAAGAGGGUAGAGAUGACAGAGAAGAUUCUGAUUAUGAGGAUGAAAUGGAGUUGGAUUUUGAAACAUCAAUAUCUGGUGAUGAGGAUCGUGGUAAUAAUGAAUCAAGGAUCGUUCGAGGAAGCUUAAAUCUGAAAUUUCAUCGCAGGGAUGACUCAACUAAAGAGCACUGCGGUGUGAAUGGUUCGAAAAGUGAUAUGCCAUCAACCUCUGAAUGUGAAAAUUCUGCUUAUAAGGCUGAUGUUGCAAUAGAUAUGAAACAAAGGUACGUUGGACACUGCAAUGUGGGGACAGAUAUAAAACAAGCUAGCUUUCUUGGCCAGCGAGGAGAAUUUGUUGCUAGCGGAAGUGAUGAUGGGAGAUGGUUCAUUUGGGAGAAAAGAACAGGGCGAUUGAUAAAAAUGCUUGCAGGAGAUGAGGCUGUUGUGAACUGUAUACAAUGUCAUCCAUUUGAUUGUGCUAUUGCAACUAGCGGAAUUGAUAAUACAAUUAAGAUGUGGACACCACACGCUCAAGUUUCAUCGAUGGUUGCUGGAGGAGCUGCAGGACCAGAAACUGCUGAUGUACUGAGUGCCAUAGAAAACAAUCAACGCAAGCUGUGCCGCUAUCGUGAAGCUGUGCUAAUGGGGCAUUAUUGUGAGGAAGGUUUUCACUUAAGGACUUCCGAAUAUGUGCGACAUUUUGCUGGAAUGAAAAAUUUUAGGGCAACUGCUUAAACAGUCACUUUUACUGGCCAGAUUGAGAUUUUAAGAACAUACGUCCAGUAACUUGGUCUAGUCGGGAUCUGCAUGUUAAGACCUUUGGACUUCUUGGAGAGAUUCAGGAUGCAUGAGUUCGCUGAAGGAACCCUACAUCCUUUUGAGUGUGCCCAGAGCUGAUGUCUUUCGUGCUGCCUGAUCAGGACCAGUGAUUCGUUAUCUAUUUUUAAAUGCACGGAACUUAACGAAUUCACAGCCGUAACAGAUGGAUAAAAGUGUUGUUUUUCUAGAGUUGCUAUUUUCACAAAUGCUGCGUGCCUUUCUCUCUCCCCCUCUCUCUCUCUGAAGCAGGAUUUUGAAGGUUAACAUCUUUGACCGUCUCAAAUUUUACAAGAUGGUGAAAAUUUUCUCUGCUGAAAUGGCUUGGCUGAUUAUCGUAUCUGCCAAUCUGGUUACGCGGUUUGCCUUAGAUGGCGUUUUUUUUAUUUCUACCUAAGUCUGCAGUAACGACAUUGUGAUUGCGAGGCCCCGGUUGUUGAGUGCAUGCAACUAUAUGCUUGUCGGCUAUUUUAUGUCCUAGAAGAAUAGUUUACACCGCCGAAUCCUUUGUACAAACUUGUAUAGAAACAACUUUUUCUUUGUAUAUUUUACUACCAAUAAGCGGCUGUUUGAGGCUUACGAGCAGCUGAAGAUGUUGGAUUUGUUUUGCCUGAUUAUCCUUUUUAAUUAGUUAUACAGUGGA